CACAGGGCAGGGUGGUGGCCAACAGCCACCCGGGGUGACCCGCGGGACAGUGCCACAGAGAACAGACCGCCGGCUGCUCGGCAGCCGGUAAGGGUGAAACGGUGGUGUAAGAGACCACCAGCGCUCCAGGUGACUGGAGCGGCUCGGUAAACCCCACCCGGAGCAAGUCCAGACAGCGUGUGCACGGCGCCUUCGGGCGUCGAGGAGACCGGCCCGGUCGAGCGCGCGGGUAGGACGCUAGAGCCGGCCAGCAAUGGUCGGCCCAGAUGGAUGGCCGUCGCCGCGCCACCGGUAACGGGGGCGCGGA
rnacentral:RNase_P_RNA from 1 species